GCGGUGCUGGCCCACCUUUCCCCCCGCCCCCCCGCCCCAGUUGCCAGAGCGCCGGCGCGAGGCGAGGAGGGGCGUGCCCGGGACUGACCCCCGCGCCCCGGCCUUUUGCCCGCUCACGCGCCGACCCGCGACCCUGGUGCGGGGGGGCUUCCCGAGGGCCUCUACUGGUCCGAGGUUCGCUGCCGGACCGUGCUCGGGCCACGAGCCGGAGGACCGCUAGUCUCGCCGCCGUGGGCACCUCCGGCCGCGGCUGCGACGUGGGCGUCCAGCCUUCGGACUGGGAACCCACAGGAGACGCCUAGGAAGGGGAAAGGCCUGGAAAACUGAGCCGGCCCCAGAAGGGGUGAACGUUUGGUGAGCGGCCGAGGCUCAUAGCCGUGGGGAUCGCGGGAUACGGAAGUUCUCGAGGUGUCUGGUGUAUCGGUACGAAUGUCCGCUCAGGUAGAUUGCCUAUAUUCUCCUCAUCUCAGCACCAAGACCCAGCUCUACCCAACAGUCUACAGACUCCAGUGUUGGAAGACUCGGACCAAACAACCAGCUGCUUCGGGUCUUAGUUGCAGCAUGCGGACUUCUUAGUUGCGGCAUGUGGGAUCUAACUCCCCGACCAGGGAUCAAACUCGGGCCCGCUGCAUUGGGAGGGCUGAGUCUUAUCCACUGGAACACCAGACAGGACAAGAGGAGCAUUUGCAGAAGUGAUGCUGGAGGUGAGAGUCGAAGGAUAAACAGGAGUUAACCAGAAAGGCCAUCACAGGAAGAGAGAACAGCACGGCCACACACUUGGAAGUGCAAAGGGCAAGCCCUUUCUUUAGCGCCUGACUCCCCAUCAAACAUACACCAACUCAAGCCAAGCAACCAACCAGCUAUGGGAACGGCCACCAUCGGAGGCAUUUUUCCUGAUCACUCUCCCAUUCAUCGGAUUGAACUAAUUGCUCCUGGUUUUUGACUGUCUCUCCAAUCCCUCCUGUUCUGACACCCGAUUUAAACCCAGUUCUCCACCUCGGAGGUUUAUCAGUGUAUUGAUCACAAUUUUGUACUUGAACUUUGACUCUCUGCCCUCACAGCCAUGAGGCAGAGGUUCAUUCUGACCCCUUGGAACGAUCCUCAGCAAGCCAGUGCCACCUGACCUCCCCACAGGGGAAGGGGAUCGGCCGUUCCUGCCUCGACUGAACCGGUGAACGGCAGAAGCAUUGAUCUCAGAAAAAGAAAGUGAGGAACACUCUGGGGGAAGAUUAUUUCAGUUCUGAAUAUACUGACCCUGAGGUUCCAAAGGGCCAGCCUAGCAGACAUUAACCAAGGCUAUCAAAAUGCGGCCCUGCGGGCUUCCCUGGUGGCGCAGUGGUUGGGAGUCCGCCUGCCGAUGCAGGGGGCACGGGUUUGUUCCCCGGUCCCGGAAGAUCCCACAUGCCGCGGAGCGGCUGGGCCCGUGGGCCAUGGCCACUGGGCCUGCGCGUCCGGAGCCUGUGCUCCGCAACCGGAGAGGCCACAACAGUGAGAGGCCUGCGUACCGCAAAAAAAAAAAAAAAAAAAAAAUGUGGUCCUGGAGUAUAGGAGAACGUUCUGAGCUAGAGAUGGAGAUAUGAUGUGGGUGUAUGCAGAAAAGAAUUCACGUAGAAGCCUCAGACUGUCCUCGGAAAGCCCUGUGUGCAAGGUUGACCCUUGGCUAGCAUCCAGGAACUUGAUGUGGGGGUGUCCCCACUGUUCCCUGACAGGCGUGUCUCGAUGGGCCUGAACUAUCUGUGCAAAUCAUCUGGUUUAUGCUGAACACCUGCUUCACUCCCAGGAGCCUGGAAUUUUGGUACACGCCAGGCAGAGGAUGCCUACACGCCCAGCCCUCAAUAAAUUUCAGCCACUGAGUCAGCGAUGAGCUUCCCUGGGAGAAAACACUUUCCCCACGUUGUCACAUUCGAUGCUGGAGGAACUAAGUACGUCUGUGUGACUCCACAGGGACAGGAGUCUUGGAAGCUGGCCUGGCUUCCUCCAGACUUUGUCCCAUGUGCCUUUCCCCUUUGCUGACUGUGCUUUGUCUUCUUUCCCCGUAAUAUAUCUGAGCUGUAAGCACGACCGUAUGCUGAGUCCUGAGUCCUAGCCAACCACUAACCUGGAAGUGGUCUGGGGAAACUCCAACACAGGGAGUUGUCAGGAACACCGGGUAAUUCAGUGCUGGGAAUUAGAAUGGAAUUGAUCCCCUCCCAAUCUACGUGGUUGCAGUGGACUGGCCACAUGACCUGACCCCAGUUGGUCAGAGUGCAAUGGUCCCUUGGCCUCAUCCUGCAGACAAAAAUGAAGAUGGUGCCCUCCGACUGUAAAGCACACUGGUCUGAAAUGCAGCAAAGGGUCAAGGGAAGAUUAACGAAAGGCUCCCGGCUAUGCCAGAAACAAUACCUUAUUUAACUAAGAUUUAGAGCCAUAGAAGGAUACUCCUGACAAAAUCUGAAAAACAAACAGAAACCUAAGGAGUUAUGGCCAUGGCUAUUCCCCCAAGCAGAUCAAGGAUAAGACAAGAUUUCUGGCAUUGGAUUCAAGACCGCAAAUGAGAUUGUUAAGGACCUGAGGACAGUUUUAAGGCAGCUGUGCUGUCACAGAAGCCUCAGCCGGUUCCACAGUUAUGACUGUUCAACCUUGCAGCAGGGCCCGAACCAAGCGUGCAUAUCCAACCUGCUCACCAGCACCCCCCAAACCCUCCCGCCCGUGCCUUCGUUGGUGCCACCACCAGCGCCAACAGGGAAUUCCUCCCUCAGGGACUCUCUGAAGGGGCCCUGACUCAGGAUCUGAACCAGCCAUAGUGGCUGACCAAACACGUCCAGCUAAGUGGGGCAGCAAAGAGAUGCCAUGAGACUGUUUCUGUCGUUCAUCCUACUAAGCUUGCUCAACAAGGCCUGGUGUGUAUUCUGCACCAGUAAUCGAUGUGCUCAGGGACAUGUCCUUCCCCCUUUCUAGUUUGAUCUUGAUUCCACUUCACUCUAGCAGGUAGAUACAAGCUACAUUUAUCAUGUAUCCCAUAAGCUGGAGGGUGAGGAGUUGAAAUUAAACCUGAUCAAAUCCAAGCUAAUGAACUAGAGAAAGCCCGCGUGCAGCAACGAAGACCCAACGCAGCCAACAAUAAAUAAUUUUUUUUAAAAAAAGCUUAUUGUCAAAUCCAAGCUCACGGAAGAACGGACACCAUCCAGAGAACUUGAACUCAAAAUUGUGACACUUCACGAUACAGAAGCUACACAUGCCCUUGGACUGUCUCCCACCGGGAAAAUGUGAACAUGUCUGAAGCUGCACAGAAGAUAGUUGGAUUAUAGUCAAGUAGGACCAUGAUUAAAUAUGUAAUUGUCUUCAAAUGAGACAUUAAUAGAGGAAAAGUAUGCCUGAAAGUGUUGAGUUUCCAGAAGAAGUGUGACUGUUGUUUUUUUAAAAAUGAAAAAAGAGAAAGAAGACUAUAGGGGCCAGCUCAAGAGUCUCCAGAGAUGUAAUGCUCAAAAUAAAACAACAAACAUAUUUGCUGAAAGUAUUUAUGGAUCCCCAAUUAUCACAAGGGCAGAUACAUCAGGGCCUAAUACACUCCGUCACUGAAAAGCACCCCAAAACUGUCUGCCGACAUCAAGGAAACGAUCACCACCACUGCCAUUCAGCCAUGUCCUUUAGAACGUGGAACAUUUGGCCCUCUCGAUGAGAGCCGGCUCUGGCUUCGUGGGAAAUCAUCUCCUGCAUCUGUGCUGAGAGAGAUCCCAGGUCUCUGAUUGCCAGCGUCAUACAAGGUUGAGGGAGAGACCCUACAGGGGUCUGCUGCCACUGCAAAGCUUAUCACAAAUAAUUCAACAAAAGAAUGCCUGAAUACUCAGCUCUACUAAGAUGCAACAUUUGACUGGAUCCAGCAUGUCACCCGUUGUUUGCUGUACUGGACCCUAAGACAGGCUCCCGACAGACAGGGCACGUGCAAUUCUCUGAGAGCCACCGGUCGAUACAGUGGAUGUGAAAUUCAUGCAUGCAAGGUAACUGCCUGAGCUUGUUUCCAGUUACGUAGUCACUGAUGCAAACACUACAGGUUUUCCCUAGUUCGCUAUCGAUACUGCUGUGCUCAUAGUUCCGGGUGGAAAGAUUGUCAAUCUGCCCUUUGGUUAAACCACGUGUGCGGUCAUCAUCCUCCCUUUCAUUAAGCAAGAAGGUACCAAGGUGAAGGAUAGGUAGGGUGCCAGUUUCGACUAAGUUACUUGAAUUUCGCGACUGCCUGCCACCUCUGUUUGGGGCACGAGGCGGGGUGUUAGGGCUGUCUUCUCGGGUCCACCUGCCUUGGGAGGACCCUCCCCUGUGCUGGCUGACGGCCUCACCGAGGAGACUCACUUCUGAGUGUGUCUCUGGCCGAUGCUGACCACUUGUCUGAGCCUCUGACUCAUAUUCGGCCUCCACUAGAGAACUCAGUUCUCCAAGUCCAUUCACGAUCUGCCUUACAAUUGAUCGAAGAACCACCGAUGAUGGUUCAGCGAGCUCAUUCUCAGAAAUCCUAUGAAGAGGAACAGUUAUGGUAGUGACGGAGGAUCGCAUACCUGAGCGCUCUAAACGAGAGCCGGUGCGCCGAAAGCCCCCACUACUGCUUUCCACAGUGAUUGUGUCUUCUGGCAGCCCCACCCUAGAUCGAGUUCUGUUUGCAAUACUGUCCCAGUCUCUGCUUUCUCCAGGAGGAAUCCUUCUCAGUUGAAGGUUCAUUGUGACUGCUGGAUGUCGUCGUGCAGCAGUGGAGGACCUGCUGGACUCUCCUUCUUCUUCUCCUGUGGCUCUUGACCCAAGUCUUGAGUUAGAGAAUGGAGUAUAUGCGGUACCUCUGCCUUCUCGGUCUUGCUGUGGAAAGACACGAGAUCUACCUCUCCUCCUAACAGACCGCAUACUAGUUUGCUGAAAAGGUCUACUUUCCCUUUGUGAACUAGGAUAAACAGUGCCACUUUGCCUCUGAAUUGGUGACCGGCUUCGGCUACUGCGUAAUCUUAUUGGCUCUAAUCUUUGGUUUGUAUUCCUCACUGUGACAUUGGUUCUAGCCCCAUUUUCCCAAACAUGGGCUGCUCCAAAUCGCUGCCCCUCCCUUUGCCUGAGUUCACUACCACCUGAUGGACGACUGAAAUUAGUGCGUGGAGCACUAGUUGUAGGGGUGCCAACCGCCCCCCCAAUUCCAUUUCUUAAUCUUCCGAAUGCUGACAAAGAUCCUUCUACUGAAUUCCGCCCCCUCGAUCCAAGCCUAGCUCUCGGAACGCUGGCACCACUACCACUGAGGUUCCCUGCAGCUCGGCUCCUUGUUCGCCUGGCCACAGGACUACUUGAUCUCUGCGGCCCAUCUGUAGUGUGAUCUUGGCUGACAUCUGAAAGUGGAACGCCCACAUAAUCUUCGCCAUCCAUUUCAAAUCCUCUAUCCUCGUGAUUGAUGUGGAUUUCCAGACUAAAUUGGAACUCUCCACUGUGUGGGUUUGUUCGACUCCCAGCUCUCCAAGUCUGGUUCCCAUUCUGUCCACUUCGAGUUGCGUUUCUCCUGAGAGGAAAGGUGUUGAUCCAUUCCAGCAGAGACUGUUCACGUGAACUUUCUCGAGGGACCCCUGAGUCUGGAAAGCAAACCAAAUCAACUUAACAUCAAUUCCUAAAAUCUAUCUUUAGAUCUUUACUGAAAGCUUGUAAGAUAAACUAAGUUUUUAUUAAAUUAAAAAUAUAAUUAAGAACAUCAGUGCAUUUUAAUGAAUGAAAAACGGCCAAAAAACUGAACUUUCUAAAAGAAAGGUGUAUACUAUAAGCAUACUAUAAUAUACACUGUAUCAAAAUUAUAAACUUUUAAAUACUAUUUGUGCAAAGGUGUGAAGAAAUCCUCACUUUUGCUUUCUAUAUGCCUGUUAUUGGCAAAAUAUUAAGGCAAAUGAAAAAUAUAUCCAGUAUCAAAACUGUACAUUUAAAUUGCUUUAUUGGGACUUGCCUGGUGGCACAGUGGAUAAGACUCCACGCUCCCAAUGCAGGGGGCCUGGGUUUGAUCCCUGGUCAGGGAACUAGAUCCCACAUGCAUGCUGCAGCUAAGAGUUUGCAUGCCACAACUAAGGAGCCCACCUGCCACAACUAAGACCCGCUGCAACUAACUAAAUAAAAAUAAAUAUUUAAAAAAUUGCUUUAUUCAUAUGGCAGUAUCAAUAAAAUACAGUGGCAAAACUUAUAUAUAAUUUAUCUUGAAUUUUUAGAAUUCUUUGGUAAAGGUAACUCAAUCUUUUUUGCAGUUAGGUAUUUUGGUAACCUUAAGAAUUUUAUCCUAUUUCUCAGAAACUGCCAAAAAUGUAUAAGCCAAGAAAUAUGGCUUUAUGAGUAAACUGUUAGAACCACAUUAUAUCUUCGUAUGAAGAUAGGAAACUUCAGGCAUGUUACUUAAGUUCUCUGGCUAAAUCCUUAUCUGUAAAUUUGAUAAUAAUCGUAUAGAUGUCAAAGGAUUAUCAUGAGGAUAAAAUAAGAUACUGUAUAUAAAAUGAUUAGUAUAAUAUCUGGCACAUAGGAAGCACUCAAUAAAUGUUAGCCAUUAUAUAUAAUACAAUAAAAUACAUUCUCUGUUCAUUUAGAACAUGAGCUGCAUGAAGACAAUGAGUUUUGCCUUAUUUUACUCACUGUUAAAUCCCCAACCCCUACAACAGUAUUUGGGACAAAUCAGACUGUCAGUUAAUACUGUUGAAUGAAUCGAUUUAGAAAUAAAUGUGCCCUGGGACUUCCCUGGUGGUGCAGUGGUUAAGAAUCCACCCGCUAAUGCAGGGGACACGGGUUUGAUCCCUGGUCCAGGAAGAUCCCACAUGCCGCGGAGCAGUUAAGCCUGUGCACCGCAACUCCUGAGCCUGCGCUCUAGAGCCCGCGAGCCACAAUUACUGAGCCCAUGGGCCGCAACUACUGAAGCCCGUGUGCCUAGAGCCCGUGCUCCACAACAAGAGAAGCCACCGCAAUGAGAAGCCUGCGCACCACAACGGAGAGCAGCCUCCGCUCACUGCAACCAGAGAAAGCCCACACCCAGCAACGAAGACCCAACACAGCCAAAAAUAAAAUAAAAUUAAAAAAAUAUAUACAUUUUAAAAAAAAGAAAGAAAGAAAUGUGCCCCUAAUAAACUUCUUUGAGUAUGUCAGUGCUACUGUGGGAAGCUUUAAGUUUUCCAUUUUAACCAGUGGAUUAGAUAAAGUACAAAACUCAAUGAAAAGCAUUCUAAUGCACAUUAGCUACACAGACUUUACCAAGUUCAUUCUUCUCAAAAACAGUUGUUAAAUGAGACUGCUUUGAUUUUAUUUCAUUACUCCAAUCUCUCAUAAAAAUUUUUUUUAAAUAUUAAAGCUAAACCUGUUAAUCAGCUGCUGGCAUCAAUAAAAAUAGCAACUUCAGCCAUAUUCUAAAGGUAUAAGCUAUUUCACAUGUGAUGAGUACAUUUUCCCUUAAAACAUAUUCAAAGGACCAGUAUUACCAGCUAUACCAAUAUAGUACAAUUUGCAUAUCUAAACAUAAAGAAGAAAAAGGGUUAAUAUCCACUUUCCAUUUUAAUUUGCAAAAAGAUAUUAGUAAAGGGCAGGUAAACAUUAAGUCAUUCUAGAUGCCACUUCUUUCUUUAAUUACUAGAAUAUAGUGAUGGCAGUGUGUGAAAGAGGUCACUCAUAUCUCACAAAAUCCGUCACCCCAUUCUUCCACUGGAAAUGCACUGAAGUGGUCCUGUGAACAACCUGGCAUCUGGGUGUGGCCCCGGGACUAAGUUCUCAUCAAUCGAACGGGAGUGGAAGUGAGAGAGCUCAUUUUCAGGCAGGGGCCUAGGCCUUCUCUUGGAACCUGGAACUGCCAGCUGGAAACUAGAAGUGGCUGUGACUUAGCUUGAUCACGCAAACCAUACCCUGGAGCAGCAGUCAGUGCCCAGUGAACCUUUCUGCAACAGUGGAGAUGUUCUGUACCUGUGCUGUCCAAUACAGAAGCCACUAGCCACAGUGGACUAUUAAACACUUGAACGUGGCUAAUGUGACUGAGGAACUGAAUUUUCAAUUUUAUUAAAUUUAAAUAAGCCCAUGUGGCCAGUAGCUACUGCACUGGACAGCACAGUUGUAGAACCACUGUGCUGGCUGUGUGGGUCCCAGAAGGCUUUAUGGAUUAACAUGUGUCUGCCCUGGACUGUGAGCACAAAACAAAAGUAAACUUCUAUCUCAUCAGCGAAUGCAUUUGGGGUUUUUAAUAGUCUUCACCCUAACUAAUACCAUGAUCUUGAUAUAAUAUGUGAAACUACUACUAAUGAACACCUCUGGAGAAGGAAGUAGAACUGGUAAGAGGGACCUUAAAGUUGGCUUUACCUUUAACUCUAUACACUUCUGUUUAGUUUGAAUUUUGGUUUUUUUACAAGUGAUUUGUUUUUUUAUAAGAACUUCUUAUAUUACGACUUAGUGUCUGUUCAGUAAAAUGACACAACACAAAACCAAUAAAACAAAGCAACAAAAAUAGGUUUUCCUGACUCAGUCUUUCUGUAUUGUUCUGUAUAAAUUUUU